rnacentral:lncRNA from 1 species
ACUACACCAAAACCUGUAAACCUACUCCUAUUGGUUGGCUCCUGGCUGCUAUAGGGAUACAAAAAAUAAGAUGAAUGAAGAGUUCUUAUUGUGGCUUAGUGGUAACAAAUCUGACUAGUAGCCAUGAGGACGUGGGUUCGAUCCCUGGCCUCACUCAGUGAGUUAAAAGAUCCUGCAUUGCUGUGGCUGUGGUGUAAGCUGGCAGCUGCAGCUCCGAUUCAACCCCUAGCCAGGGAACGUCCAUAUGCUGUGGGUACAGCCCUAAAAAGACAAAAAUAAAUAAAUAAGAUGAAUGAGCUUCCAUGAUUUUUAUACUCAAGUUAACCGAAAAAUUGCCAACUAUUGGUUACAUGUUAGGGAAUGUACUAUAUAACUACCUACUUUGGAAAUCAGACCUGGCCCUUCACAGACAUAAACAGGAAAUUACUAAUUAAAAAACACAUUAAAAUAGCCCUAGUCUGCCUUCAGAGAGCUUAUAACAUCACAGAAGAGAACAGGAGUGGAGAUACGUCAGAGCAAUAAUAUAACCCUAGAAACCCUACAAGAGCAGCAUGCUGCAGGCAGAGCACAGCACCAGGGGGAGGGUGGUGAUGGGGACCCUCCUGGGGAAGGAACACAGGCCGGCGAAGACCCCACGGCGACAGAUGUUGCUUCACUUGUGUGUUUACUGACUGGAUCACCUGCAAGGGGACAGGUGCCCCAAGCCACCAGAAAGAAGACAGUGUCAGGUAACGAAGUUGCAUUCAGUUGCUAAGAACCAGAAAUGGCUUGACAAGUAGGACUUUGACAGGCGAAGGGGGGCCUCAGUGGACCCAAAGGCACUGGACACAGGACAAGCAAGAACAGAGCCCCGAGCAGGGCAACCACCGUGAGUAGCUCAGUGAGUGAAACCUAAUCACGGCACAUGUUUAAAGAGCAGACAGCGAUGUUCAACGUCAGGCUGGCAUUAAGAACGGAAGCCCUGAAUACCAUGUUCGGGCAGCCAAUUUGGCUUUCAGCGGAAAAACAAAGAAAGGUGUGCGGCCUGUGAGAUGAGGAGACACACCGGCAGGGAAUACACAACACAAGUCUUUGCGACAGUCCAGCAGAUGGUCCAGGAGACGCCAAAGUGUGGAUGGGAUCUGAGCAAAUCUGCAAACUUGGAUGACGUCUGGACGGGGAGGGUUAUCGGGAAAGAGAGAGAGUCCGAGUGGAAGAACGUGGAGACAGUUUUCCUCGGGAACUGGGAGAAGGGCCGAGAGGAGGCUGGAUGUGAAUUUAAAUACCUGACAUCCAAAGAUCAAGUCUGACGUGCUCCAGCCUAGUGUGAAAGCUCCGAGCUUCCCACCCCACGCCAACUGGGAAAUACACCUGGCCCAUGAGAGCAGCCCUCCUGAAGCUCAUCUGCCACCUCCUGUACCUCGCCCACACCACGCUCUCCCUGUUCCCUGACACAAAGCUUGGCUUUGCCUCCUGCCCUUUCUAUCACCACCUCCUCCCAUUGUCUUCCAUCCUUUAAAUCCUGCUCAAAAGAAAGCUAAU